CUUCCUUCCUUCACUUGAGAAAAACUUGAAUGCACUGUAGGUUGGGUGGUUGAAAUGAAGUAAAGACUCUUUUUAAGCUCAUUUGAAGGAUUGCACAGAAUUUUUGAAUGUAUUUCUGAUUUUUCUCUCUUGUUACUUUAUUUUCUUGUAUUCCCUUGCUUUAAUGCACCCUUAGAAUCCUUCCAAUCUAAGUUAAGAAAACUAAAAAUGGGUUUGUAGCUAUUGG
rnacentral:lncRNA from 1 species